GGAGGGGGCAAGCGUUAUUCGGAAUUACUGGGCGUAAAGGGCGCGUAGGCGGCCGCGUAAGUCAAAGGUGAAAUCCCCGGGCUCAACCUGGGAAUUGCCUUUGAUACUGCACGGCUUGAGUCCGGGAGGGGGUGGUGGAAUUCCCAGUGUAGCGGUGAAAUGCGUAGAUAUUGGGAGGAACACCGGUGGCGAAGGCGACCACCUGGACCGGUACUGACGCUGAGGCGCGAAAGCGUGGGGAGCGAACAGGAUUAGAUACCCUGGUAGUCCACGCUGUAAACGAUGGGUACUCGGUGUCGCGGGUAUCGACCCCCUGCGGUGCCCAAAGCUAACGCAUUAAGUACCCCGCCUGGGGAGUACGGUCGCAAGGCUG
rnacentral:rRNA from 1 species